CACGUGAGAUCUUGGUCUCCAAACCCACUAGUUCACCGUUCUCCUCAGUAUCCUCUUCCCCGGAGCCACCGUCCUCAGAGAGUAGCACCGUCGAACAGCCCGGAACAACAAUCUCCGUCGACUGUUCUGCUCUCUAUAAUCCUCCCGGUUGGACAAUGUUUCUCAAGGACCAGUUACCGUGGAAUGUGAUGAUUCCAGCUGAAAACAUGGACGCAAAAGGGCUGAUUCUAAAGAGGGCUAUACUAAUAGAGUUACCAGACGCAUUUGGACUCUGCUGAUAACUUUACUAUGAAUUAUCAGAACACUUGGCGAUUAGGCUGCUUAAUGAGAGGCUUCAGGAUCCAACGAUGCAGGAAUCACUUGAAUCUAUCUUCCCUAAAGAUAAUCCAAAGAACACGAGGUUUGCAAUCAACUUCUUUACAUCCAUUGGUCUUGGAGGCAUCACAGAGAACCUGAGAGAGUAUCUGAAGAACAUGCCACGCCUGAUCAUGCAACAGCAGAAGCAAGUUGCGGAAUCAGAAUCAGGAUCAUCAUCUGGAUCUGACAGUUCUGGUUCCGACUCUGAAUCUGAGUCAGAAUCAUCCUCUUCUUCUAGUUCGGAUGAAAGCGACAGAGAGAAGAGGAAGCGAAGAAGAAGAGCUUGAGACCUGUGUUUGGUUUGUUAUCUCCACCAAAAAAUUUCACAUCUCCGACUAAUAUAUUAAUGAAAAGGACCUUGAAGAUAUGUUAGAAGAUAGAACCAAAUCGCUGGCAGCUGUUCAGGCUAUGGAGCUUGCCAAAGAGCGUGAAAAAUCAAGAGAUCUGCAGCUAUCUCUACAGGUUGAAACGAAGCGAGUUAGAAGCUGCUUUAGAAGAGAGCAGGAAGCCAACCAGUAGCAAAGUAUUCCGGGACGCCACAGAGCUGAAAAAGGAUUUCACCAACAAUGCUGAAUCUGCUGUUGCUUCCUUAAGAGGAUUGUCAGCUAAUAAAACCUCUAGUCGAGCGGAUCUCACACUUCUCUUCCGUGCUGCGGCUCAGGAAGCCAAAAUUUCUAGAGCACAAAAUCGAAUUUUCAGGGUGAUUCUCAUAUACUGCAGGUCAUCAAUGAGACCAACACAUGGUUGACCCUUAAACCAGAAGCUCUUCACAUUGGAUGCUAUGUAUCUGCAUGAUAAGCCAAGUCCUGAUAAUUGUCCUCAAGAUGUGUAUGACUCUCUCGUCGAUGCUGUAGAACUUGUUUCAGAUGAUCUUGACAUCCCCAGGUCUCUUGCGAAGAAGGUGCCUGUGACUGAGGCGACAAAUGCUGUAGAUCAUCACAAUGGGAACAAUAUUCAGAUCAUAAGCUAAAGAAAACACUGUUUUUUUUUUCUUGUAUUUUGUUUAUGAUAUGGUUGUAAGUUUCGCAUGUGAAAAAUACUCAAAACUAGUGACAACUUGUUCUAGACUCA